rnacentral:tRNA from 1 species
GCGGGGAUGGUGGAAUCGGUAGACACAGAAGCCUCAAAAGCUUCCGUCCGAAAGGACAUGCGGGUUCGAGUCCCGCUCUCCGCA